GUGUUCUAUAUCUGUCACAUCAAACCACAUGUCCAAUCCCAAGAAAAUGAAGGAACAGAUCUAAUGAUCUAUAUAAAAAUUGUCAUAAGUAUUCUAAAAGAGUCUAUACUGAAUAAAGACUUCAUCCGAUAGACCCAAACAUAGACGAACACAACCAGCUGAUCGAGGACCAAGGCGUGAGCUGAGACGAUAAACACUCUCUUCAACUUGAAUAUCUUCUCCAUAUGAGAAAACAAUAUCUUGAAAAGUGAGCAAAGAAGCUAUUGCUAGUCAUUGGAUUCAUAUCUACUACAAAACCUAUACGUUACAGCCAUUGAUAAUACUACUCAAGAUUUGACUCCUUUUCCAUUUAUUAAAAAUGAAACUGUGUCUACCCAGAAUUUGCUCUUAAUUCCCUCUGUUUGAAAAAAAAAAUCAUUCGAAUAA